rnacentral:lncRNA from 1 species
GUAGGUUGCCUCUUGGGAAGUGUUUGUUUGACAUUGUGAGGCUAACGCAACCUAAAGAAGAUAGUAAACCCUUUAACAAGGUGAUAUACUUCAUUUGUAGCAGCCCUUCUUCAUAGUGCUUCCCCUUGUGGCCAUUGAUUUUAAAGGUGGUGUCAUCUUCUUAAGACAAUUCAAGUACCCCAUGAAGGAGGAAAUGAGUUACAGUAUAUGGGCUAUAACACCUUCGGUGAAACUUUCUUAAAAUAAAAUGCAUGCAUAUAAGAGUUAUCUAUUGAUGAGAACUUUUU